GGAGUGGUAUCGAAGUGGUCAUAACGAGGCGCACUCGAAAUGCGUUUGCCGUUGAUAGCGGCACGUGGGUUCGAAUCCCACCCACUCCGCCA
rnacentral:tRNA from 1 species